rnacentral:rRNA from 1 species
AUGAAUUUGAGUGUGAUGACAAUUUAUGGGGAUUUCUCACCUGUCGCCGCGGCCGCUGUGAGCGUCAUCAGAUCACCUGGGCCUGUGACACCGACCGCAGACCGGACAGCAGAGGACACCUGCUCAUGGCCUGCCCCUGCAAGCUGGGCUGCCUCGGCACAGUGCGAGGCCAGCAACUCGGUGGCCGACGCCAUGGCUGCAGCUAUCUUGGAGUCCUGGUUGUCAAAGCUGGUGGCUGCUGUGACAGCGGCAACCGCGGCGGACACCUGGGCCACGGAGACCAUGGCGUGCGCCUGGGCCCGGUCGGCGCGCGCCUUCUCCUUCCUGCCGUGCUUGGCGGCCUCCUUGUGCUGGAAGUACCACCUGGUCACCGAGUUGGAGUGGCGGUGGCAGCUGAUGGAGCCCCUCCCUUUUGCAUCUAGCUGCAGAGCAGAGAUGGCUGGAGAGUAA